rnacentral:rRNA from 1 species
GUCCAGACUCCUACGGGAGGCAGCAGUAGGGAAUAUUGCUCAAUGGGGGAAACCCUGAAGCAGCAACGCCGCGUGGAGGAUGAAGGUUUUCGGAUUGUAAACUCCUUUUGUGAGAGAAGAUAAUGACGGUAUCUUCACGAAUAAGCACCGGGCUAACUCCGUGCCAGCAGCCGCGGUAAUACGGAGGGGUGCAAGCGUUACUCGGAAUCACUGGGCGUAAAGAGUGCGCAGGCGGGCUUGUAAGUCAGAUGUGAAAUCCUGUAGCUUAACUACAGAACUGCAUUUGAAACUAUUAGUCUAGAGUGUGGGAGAGGUAGGUGGAAUUCUUGGUGUAGGGGUAAAAUCCGUAGAGAUCAAGAGGAAUACUCAUUGCGAAGGCGACCUACUGGAACAUUACUGACGCUCAUGCACGAAAGCGUGGGGAGCAAACAGGAUUAGAUACCCUGGUAGUCCACGCCCUAAACGAUGAAUGCUAGUUGUUGUGGAGCUUGUCUCUGCAGUAAUGCAGCUAACGCAUUAAGCAUUCCGCCUGGGGAGUACGGUCGCAAGAUUAAAACUCAAAGGAAUAGACGGGGACCCGCACAAGCGGUGGAGCAUGUGGUUUAAUUCGAAGAUACGCGAAGAACCUUACCUAGGCUUGACAUUGAUAGAAUCUGCUAGAGAUAGCGGAGUGCUGGCUUGCCAGAGCUUGAAAACAGGUGCUGCACGGCUGUCGUCAGCUCGUGUCGUGAGAUGUUGGGUUAAGUCCCGCAACGAGCGCAACCCUCGUCCUUAGUUGCUAGCAGUUUGGCUGAGCACUCUAAGGAGACUGCCUUCGUAAGGAGGAGGAAGGUGAGGACGACGUCAAGUCAUCAUGGCCCUUACGCCUAGGGCUACACACGUGCUACAAUGGGGUGCACAAAGAGAUGCAAUAGUGUGAGCUGGAGCCAAUCUCUAAAACAUCUCUCAGUUCGGAUUGUAGUCUGCAACUCGACUACAUGAAGCUGGAAUCGCUAGUAAUCGCAAAUCAGCCAUGUUGCGGUGAAUACGUUCCCGGGUCUUGUACUCACCGCCCGUCACACCAUGGGAGUUGUAUUCGCCUAAGUCGGAAUG